GGCAAGUCAAGGCAAGGCCAGGCAAGUCAUGUCAAGUACAGGCCAGGCUGGGCAAGACUAGGCAAGGCAAGGCAAGGCCUGGCAACACAAGACAAGUCCAGGCCUGGCAGAGCAAGGCAACUCAAGGCAGGGCUAGGCCAGGCUAGGCAAGGCAAAGCAAGGCCAGGCCAGGCCAUGCUGGCCAGGCAGGUCAAGUCCAGGCCAGGCAAGGCAAGUCCAGGCCAGGCAAGGCAAGUCAAGACAAAUCCAGGCCAGGCAGGGCAAGACUAGGCAAGGCAAGGCAAGGCCAGGCAACACAAGACAAGUCCAGGCCUGGCAGGGCAGGGCAAGUUUAGGCAAGGCUAGGCCAGGCUAGGCAAGGCAAAGCAAGGCCAGGCCAGGCCAUGCAGGCCAGGCAGGGCAAGUCCAGGCAAGGCAAGGCAAGUCCAGGCCAUGCAAGGCAAGGCAAGACAAGUCCAGGCAAGGCAGGGCAAGUCCAGGCAAGGCAAGGCAAGUCCAGGCCAGGCAGGGCCUAGCAAGGCCAAGCAAGGCAUAGCCAGUCCAGGUAAGGCCAGGCAAGUCCAGGAAAGAAAAGGCUAGUCCAGGCAAGGCCAGGCAAGUCCACGCAAUACAAGGCCAGGCUAGGCUAGGCCAGGCGAGGCAAGGCCAGGCCAGGAAAG
rnacentral:lncRNA from 1 species